AGACAUGGUCGCGACUCGGGUCAAAGUGUAGUAUCUGUUCUUAUCAGCUUAAUAUCUGAUACGGGUUGAAUUUGGACCUAAGAUAUUACACUUAUUUUGCAAGUUGGCCGAGUGCUUAACGCCUGCUUCACCUCCACCACGGAUAGGCCCGGUAUUUCCCUAUCUUCGGAAUCAGCCACGUAUG